GUGUCAGCAGCCGCGGUAAUACAGAGGGUGCAAGCGUUGUUCGGAAUUAUUGGGCGUAAAGGGAGUGUAGGCGGUUGAGAAAGUCUUCUGUGAAAUCUACGGGCUUAGCCUGUAACGUGCAGAGGAAACUGCUCGGCUUGAGUGUCGGAGAGGAUAGGGGAAUUCCCGGUGUAGAGGUGAAAUUCGUAGAGAUCGGGAGGAACACCAGUGGCGAAGGCGCCUAUCUGGCUGACAACUGACGCUGAGACUCGAAAGCAUGGGGAGCAAACAGGAUUAGAUACCCUGGUAGUCC
rnacentral:rRNA from 1 species